AAUGAAGAUUUUUGUUGGAGAAAUUGUUUCAGAGAGGUUCUCUGUGUCGAGACGUAGAUUUGAUGGAGGAGAUUAUGGAGAAGAGAUGCAAGAUCCUAAAGAUUAUGUGAAGAAGGUGGACAAAUUUAUUUUGUCAGAAAUUCAGGCCAAGGGGGAGAUUUGUUGGGGUUUAUUUGCCCUGAUUUCUUACCAUAAAUAAGUUUUUUUUUUAGGAAAAGGUUUUAAUAUUUUNN
rnacentral:lncRNA from 1 species